rnacentral:rRNA from 1 species
UACGGGGGGGGGCAAGCGUUGUUCGGAAUUACUGGGCGUAAAGGGCGCGUAGGUGGCCAACUAAGUCAGACGUGAAAUCCCUCGGCUUAACCGGGGAACUGCGUCUGAUACUGGAUGGCUUGAAUCCGGGAGAGGGAUGUGGAAUUCCAGGUGUAGCGGUGAAAUGCUUAGAUAUGACAUAGAACACCAAUUGCGAAGGCAGCUUACUACAUAGUUAUUGACACUGAGGCACGAAAAGCGUGGGGGAUCAAACAGG